UCCCUUGUGGUCCAGUAGCUAGGAUAUCACGCUCUCACCCUGGCGGCCAGGGUUUGAUUCCCUGCAAGAUAG